rnacentral:rRNA from 1 species
UACGGAGGGUGCGAGCGUUGUCCGGAAUCAUUGGGCGUAAAGGGCGCGUAGGUGGCCCGGUCAGUUCGUGGUGAAAGCGCGGGGCUCAACCCUGCGUCGGCCAUGAAUACUGCCGCGGCUGGAGCACUGUAGAGGCAGGCGGAAUUCCGGGUGUAGCGGUGGAAUGCGUAGAGAUCCGGAAGAACACCGGUGGCGAAGGCGGCCUGACUGGGCAGUUGCUGGACGCUGAGGCGCGACAGCGUGGGGAGCAACAGGAUUAGAGUACCCGUGAU